CACACACUUUUCAGAAAGGGAAAAUAAGGAACGGGGAAACAAGAAAGGAAGGGAAAGGGGGUGAAGAAAAGAGAAAGAGAAGCAGACAGGGAGAAGAAGAGGAGAGUGGGGGAGGAACGGCGUCGGCGAGGAGCCCACGGUUGCCGCCGUCGCGUCGCCGAAGGAAUCGAAGCCGCGAAGAGAGAGAGAGAGAGAGAGAGCUCAGGAGAGAGAGGAGUGUCACCAUCGUCGUCACGGUUGCAGGCGUGAAGACCGCCGCCGUCGCCGCGCCUUGCCCAGUCGCCGUUGAGAUGGCUGAGCGCGAGGUGGAAGUAGCUUUCGUUGUCACCAAGCUGUCACCACUGCUAGAACCGCAAGGAGAGGAGACGCGUGUCUGACCCGUUGCUGCCGGCCCGCCUAGCCCGAGCCUUGUCGCCGUCGUCAUCCUUGUCAGAUCCACCGCCUCUGAAGCUUCUGGCCACACCUUUACCGCCGGAGAACGCCGCCGCCGCCACCGGAAUCCGCCACUAAAGCCUAGGUCUGCUUGGUUAUGCAGUCACUGCCGCACCUUGUCGUUGUCAGAGUCGCCACCGCCAAAUUCUUGCUAUUGCCACCGUUGUUCUAACUGCUGUCGUCAUCACUAAAAGUGGCCACUGGGGCUGCUCGAAAACCCUGUUGUUGCUGCUUCAUUAUUUUAUUGUAAGCUAUCUCUAUUUCCAAUUCCAUUGAAUUCAUUUCCAUUUCCGAUUCCAUUGAAUUUGAACUCUCUAUUUUGUUGCAACCUUGAUUAUCGCUGUGAGGAUUACUAAUGUCGCUAUUACUGGAGUAUCAUUGGAAUUGACGUUGCUCUUGUCCUGAUUAAUGCUGCUCCCUUCCUGUAAUUCUUUUGGGUUAAACCAUUGUAAUUAUAGAGCCGUGUUUGAUGGUGUUGUUGCGGAGAGUUUUCAGUGUAGCUAAUGCCACUGCCGUUGUUUCAUUCUCUUAGUACAGGUCGAGUUUUGUUGUGAAGGGUGCUUUUUGGGCUAUACGGCUGCGGGAAAUAGUCGGAGUCAAUGCUGUUCGAUUUCGGAAUGAGGAAAAAGGAAUUCUCCAACGCGUUUGGUUAGUGGUUUUGCGAGCUUUAUCGUUUCAGGAAUCGGAUGAAGCAUUAUGAAGAGUUAUGCUGGGUUUGAUUUAUACGUUGUAUUAAUUAGAUUAUUUUCUUCCCUCGCCUU